GGCAUUACCACUGUUUAGUAUAAAAGGAUCUGCUAAAGACUCAAUAAAAAAAGAGAAGACUGGUCUUGCCAGCUGUCUGCCUGAUGGAGGUUGGCUACACAGGAGAGAGAUCCAUGAGAAAAGUCCUUUCAGAAGGAAGACUAUAAGUUACUCUGACCUCUAGUGACCACAUCUAGAGUGGUAUGAAUGGGAGAUUGGGGAUGAAGCACCACAGAUGGACCAGGAAGACCAAUGACCAGGAGAAAAGGUCAACAUGAUACAACUGCUGAGGAGCUUGAGAAAAUGCCAUAUUUCAGAGUCACAAUGAACAACUCUUUUGGGUGUAGAAGUCUCAGAAUUUGGAAAAAAUGAGUAGUUUCAGCCAGUGUGAGUAGAUGGAAGAAAUUAUAUUUUUUUCCUAUUUUAUAUCUGCAAAGUGUUAGGAGCUGCAAGGGCACCUUGCUGUCAGCAUCCUAAAAUUACUCAUCAUCUUUUAACUUCCAAAUUAAAGGUGAAGAAACAUUAGUGGAUGGAGAAGGAAAUGGCUUAUUAAAUUCCACAAAUGCACAGGUAUCUCAUCUACAAAGUCUGAAAAAAAACUCCUUUUCAGAAAAGAACAUAGUUCCUUAUCUAAGUGAGAUUUAAAAUUUUUACUUUUCCAUCCAAAUUACGCUAGUUAUGUUUUUUAAGGUAUCUCAACAACAAGACAUAUUUUGGCCCAGAAAGCAAGAGAUAAGAGGAAAGAUGCUGAGGUUCUCAGGACCUUAGCUUGCUUGGCGUUUGGAGGAAAGAAGGAUAUGCAUGGCUCAAAUACAGAUAGCAUAUUAAUUAUAUCUAUAAGUCAUAAGAGACCCAAUAGACGCUCUUGUACUUGAAUUAUCAGAUAUAUGGUAUCUGUAGAGAUGUUGGGUAGAGGGGGUUGUAAAAGUGAAGACAGGUAGGAGAAGCUAGAAAUUUAGGAAAGAGUUAAAAAAAGAAAG